GGGGAAAAAAGGAUACGUCCUGGGACCACUGGCUUCCUAUUCACCAGAGCAAAAGAUAGUUCAGUCUUCAGAAACACAACAGAAGGCUUGAUGAGGUGCUGCCCAAAGCGGAGCGACAUAUUCAACAUGAAGAAACUGCCUAAGGCAUGAGGAAAUGUGGAAGCGGAAAUGGCUUGCAUAAAUGAUAUUGGAUUCCUCCUUCUACAAGCAUUGCUCAUACAACCAGAACACCGGACAUGCUGCUGUUGACAAGCUGGGACUCAUCUUGCCCACUGUGCCACAUUUGCUUCUCUCUGGAACUUUUCUGCCUAACUACUCCUUAUGUGACUAAAAAUGACAGCCCUGAUGAAAACAGGAAUCAGAAAUGCAUUACAUCCUGCCUGUGCAAGUCAAAUACUGAUGAAUUAGGCCGUAGUGUUGUAAUAACUCUAGUGACUAAUGGAACAACCCAAAGCUGUUAUUAAAAGAAGAAGAAAACGACUGAAUAAUGUAUUACCAGCACACAGUUCAGGGGAAAAUAAUUUUUUAUAAAGGAAAAUAAAAGAUUAAUAUCAAUCAUGCUA